rnacentral:rRNA from 1 species
CCCUGCCAUUUGUACACACCGCCCGUCGCUACUACCGAUUGAAUGGUUUAGUGAGGCCUCGGGACUGGCGCAAGCGGGUGCAAGCCUGUUGGCGCCGGGAACUUGGUCAAACUUGAUCAUUUAGAGGA